UUAAUAUAUUUUUUGUUGGCAACACUAAAAAUGUUCAUAGUGACCAACAUCAAAAGGACACAACCACUAUAAACAUGGCGGCCACCAGGCAGUGGUCAAUUUUGGGUAUCGUGGCCAUAUGCAUUGGCAGUCCAGUUGUCAAACUCCCGACCCGGAAGAUGACAAAAUAAUGGUGCGACUCCAUGGGCUUGAGAACAAUAAGCGAUCGGAAAGUUCGAAGAGUACCAACACGCUGGCGCACUACAGCAAGCAAGACAUUUUGGAACAGUAUUGUAUUUCCGAACGGGGCCUGGGUGCCUUGGAAAAUGGCGGACACAGCAUUUUCGGGUGCCUUUCUACGCACAGCAACUACUCGUGCUCCUCAAGAAACGCUCCCUCACUCCUUACGGGUUGCCUGAGACAACGCGUCUCCUCAGACGAGAACCUUUACAAGCUCUACAGCAGAAAUCCAUGCGAUUUCGCUCCAUAUCCCAAAAAGCAAUGGUAUCCAUGGUCUCCAAAUAUGACCCUCCAAGAACAAGACCUCCGUAGCUCCUAUUUCCGAAAAAGAACCUACGGGGACCCCCGCCGAUUCACUUGGAUGCCUUCGGAGGAGGAGUCGAUACGCAUGGAAAAACCCCGCUCGAUCACUGACCUCUCUUAUAGAAACAACACGCUAACUCAAAGCAAAAAGCAUGUGAGUUUCGCCCGCUCACAUACCCUCACAUCCUUCGACGACGCCAUGUCCUCUCUUAACUCAUCCUCGAGUCACUUAAACCGAAUAACGAGGAGCCAAGAGCGGCUCUUAGAUUUGCGAAAAUGUAACGAAGCAGCAAUCACGAAACAACCGAAGAUGUCCGAAAGCGGUUGUCCGGUUGAUGCUAAAGUGAUUAAAGGUCCGAUGAAGACUCAAGCAACCCAAACCGAUACUGUUUUGGCGAAAAAAGCGGUACCAUCUGCGCAUAUCAGCUUCAGCCCCAAGUCACUACAGAGGGCUAAAAUGGUUUCCCAGGCCGCGCAAACUAACGGAUUCAAUGGUCGUAAAUUAACCAAAUCAAUCUCGGAGGCCGGCAGUACGUUUGCUUCCCCUUUAAAUAAAGACAGGGGAUUUUUUGUGGAUUAUCCGGACCACGAACCAGUUCAUCGGACUCAAUCGGAUGAGCCGCCACGCUCUCCUUUCUUGACCACCCCGGCCCCGAACCCCUUUAUUCGUGAAAAUCCCUCCCAGAGUGAAACCUCCUCACUAUCGAAAUCGGAGGACCACGAAUCGGAAGACUCCACCGAUCCCAAAAAGGAGAUUUUUAUCGAUUACAAGCCGCAGUUGCCGUACACUCAAACUAAGAAACCGCUAGUAAAAACAUUUUCUGACGGGGUGAUAUUGACAGAGAAAAAGAAUUAUUUUAUUAGUGAGGAUCGGGUGGUGCCGAGUGUUCGACCGACAUACACUUCCAUGAGCCAUGAAAACUUGCAUUUGUUGGAUAGUACCCAGUUAGAGUGUAAGCCGCAUUUCCAAAAAGCCCCAAUUAAAGACGAAGGUGUGUGCCCUAUGCCCUUGGAAGAGAACAUUUAUUCGUCCGUUGAUGCGGGAUUGCAAUCACAAGAUUCUAUCGACGAGGAGUUUCAUGAGAACUACAUGCUAAACAGGUUGUGUCAAAGGCAAGAGUCCAUAGAGACUGAUAUUGAGGCAAUAUGCGAACGAAUAUCUUUGGGAGACGAGUCUAUAGUCCCUUCAGUUUAUUUCCAGCAUACCAAGUUUUCUCCAUUUGCCUCAAAUGAUUCGUUAGCGAACGAAGCAAGGGACCAAUCUGACGACAUAUGGAACGAAUCUCAGGUAACCGUUUUGCAAGUCGACUCUGGUACGGACAAUGGUACUGCCCUCAGUACUUCUGAAACAGUUUCAGCCUCACCUAAAGUUCCAAGUAUAUUAUUAUCACCUUCCUCCAAGAGAAAACACCUGCUCAUGAUGCAACACCAGCAAAAGUCUUCGUUUGACAUGGAUCCUCUGGACGAGGAGGCCGUCGAAGAUGUCCUUAAGCCGAUUUCUAAUGAAAAACCCAUAAAUACGCUCGAAGUUCCAAGGAUGCUCCAGUUCGCCCCGAUUAAACCGAACAAGUCCAAACAUCAAACGUUGAGAUCCCAAUCCCCUUUGAGGUUUCGAAAUUACGGGGAACCCUCUGUAGGCUAUACCACGGCGGAGUCUCCCCUACCGGCCGUCGUUCCCGAACUACUACUGACCGCAACAGAUUCCUGUAAAACCAACACGGACUUAUCGGAGAGUACCACCACAGACGACUACCUAACCGCCAACUCCGGAACCGAUAGUUCCAGGAAAAGCACCUCGUUCCAGGUUGUUCCUUCUCUCUCUCCAUCAGUUUCACCUGAUGCCCAUCAAUUUUUGCACGCUGACCAUAUUUCAAUUAAUGCCAUUUCUUAUGCAAAGGGCUCGCAUCCAGGCACCGGCAGAUCGACUCCGUCCGACGAUAGCAGCUCUUGCGGCAGCUACAGUAUUGAAAGAUCCACCCCGGAUCUAUUAAAAGGAUACUCUGCUACUCCGGACCCACCGGAAAAACCAUCAUGGUCCGACGAAGAGGAGCGCAGUGAAAGACGCUACUCCUCCUCCGGCUAUUACGAGUCCCCGAUGGAAAACGAGUUAAAGAAGCCAAACGAAUAUAUUACAACGAAAUGUAGAGAGGUUAAUUUUAAUUUAAGCACCUCCAAGUGCAGCAGAUCAAAACAGGCAAUUGAGGCGAACAAAACGGCCGGGAUCACGGGAGAGAACCAUAGAGGCAACAACGAUAAGGGCAAAAGGUCUAAAAGUAGGGCUAGAAGCCCUAUGCAGCAACAUAAGAAAAACACACAAGGGCGAAGAUCUCCUUACAAGGACAAAGCCUCCCCAAUCGAGGAUAAGGGCUACAAAGUAACCUCGGACGAAUCUAGUACGGGCCAAGAAUACCUUAACCCGAGAAAAACAAAGAAAAACAAGGAUAACUUACGGCGCAAGUCUUUGCCACGGUCGCCUACUUACCAAAAGAACCAGAAGAAGAGCGAUGUGAGUAAGUACCAGUCUAAUAGCUUACCAUCCAGCUUGUCCAGGAAGAAAUCGAAAAAACACCCGAAGGGAUGGCAACAGCAGGAACACCAUGACAAGAAGAACACGGAAGAGAGCCCCACGACGUCCACUAAAGAUACCAUCACUUUAAAGGCGUUAAGCACUGAAUCCUUAAGGUCAGUUAGUCCGGGGAGCGAUAGUGUUUUUUAUAGUGAUCCUGGUGGGCAAGCGUUGGCUGACCAACAAGGACAUUGUCUACAUUGCGGGAAAGAGGUGGUACAUGAGAAUGACGGUGACACGCCCACGGCCAAGUCUCACCACGGCCACCAACAGCACCAUCACCACCACCAUCAGCAGCAAUUCAUCGUUCAACCUCCGGCCGGAUUCGAAGACUCACCCAAAGUAAAAGUGGAAAAGCUGUUUAAAAAAUUGGAUAAACGACUGAAAUCCGAGGAACGGGGGCAGGGCGAGCACCGACGUUACAAACGCACCUCCGAUAUGCGAGCCAAGUCAGAAGAACGAUGCGGGGGCGCAGCAGCGUCGUCAUCCCAACGAGGGCGACUACGGCCCAUGCAGAAUUCGCCAUUCUGCAGCAAAGAGCAUCUCGCCUCAGCCAACAGUAGCCCGAGCAUCCUGCCGGGAGCGCCCGAGGAGGAAAACGAUCAAGGACUCUACGCCGCCUGCUACGAACCCUCAAGGUGGUUACACGUCGACGAGAAACAGUCCAAUGGGAUCCUUUCACCAUCCGGAUCAGAAGGAGACCGACGCUGCUCGAUAUCAAGCACCGAGUCUGAGCAUGAGCUGUGCAAACGGUAUCAGGGGAUCGUUCACAAGAACGCCCAUCGAAAACCUUAUGUAGAUAUGUACAAACGGUUACAUUUUAAAACUUUUGAUUGUGAUAAAACGAUCGUCGUCCAACGUGAAUCCGGAGAAUUUGGGUUCAGGAUUCACGGUUCUAAGCCAGUGGUGGUAACCGCGAUCGAGAACGGUACCCCGGCUGAAUUAUCCGGAUUACAAGUGGGCGAUAUUAUAAUUACUGUGAACGGUGUGAAUGUUUUAGAUAAGAGUCACUCGGAUGUUGUGCAAAUCGCUCAUGCGGGGAGCGAUAUUUUAACUUUAGAGGUUGCUCGAACCUCUUUAUCGCCCUGUCCAACGAAAAAAGGUGUAUUGGAACCAGGAGAGGUUCUUAGCGGGUACCUGUGGAGGUUGAGCGGACACGGUAGAGGUUAUAAAUCCAAUAAGUGGAUCAGGAGGUGGUUCAGUUUGAGGAGGAAUAGUUGUCUCUAUUUUUAUAAGACUGAUACUGAAAAGCAACCUGUAGGUGUAGUGAUGCUUUUGGACCAAAACAUUCAAGAACUGGACGAUAACGUCGAGCCUUCCAAGUUGAAUAAAUUCGUUAUUUUCAAGAACGAAUAUAGGUUUUAUGUAGCAGCCGAUUCGAUAGAAGAGAGAACCCGAUGGGUGGACGAGAUCCGGAGGUGCGUAAACGAUAACCAAGACAACUACCUGGAAAAAACCAAAACCAACCUGAGCCUCUCUCCCAGCGCCAUAUCAGAUCCGGACUGUUUCGGGUAUUUAACGAAACUGGGCAGCCAAUGGAAGUCCUGGAAUAAACGUUAUUGUGUCCUCAAAGAUGCCGCGUUGUACUUUUACCACGACGCCAACUCCACCAGCCCGUUUGGGGUGACUUUAUUGCACGGGUACAAAGUUCAACUGUCCAGUUCUAUUAAAAAACACGGCUUUGAAGUAUUAGCGCCCGAUGUUACGAAGAAACAUUAUUACUUUUGUGCCGAAUCGGAUUCUGAUAGAAAAAGGUGGAUAUCCGCCAUGGAGUACUCCAUUGACCGUUGGUUGAAACUACAUUAAAGAAAGUCGUGUAUAAAUCGAACGACAACUAGGAAAUUGUACAGUGUGUCCAAAAUUAUAUAUAAAAUGCCAACAAGAUUGAAAAAUUUUGUUUUGUUUUUCUAAAUAUACGAAAACCAAAAAAAAAUUUAAACUACGGGUAGCGUAAGGACCUAAUUUUGUAAUAAGAACCACGCACUGCCAGUGAUAGAUAGAUGUUUUUAGGAGAGUAUAUAGAAAGAAUAUAAUAUAGCUUUGUUUUAAA
rnacentral:misc_RNA from 1 species